rnacentral:lncRNA from 1 species
GUUACUAUUUCUGUCAGUCGACUUUGAUGGAUGAUUAGUACUACAUCUGAGAUUCUUUUCAUCAAGAUUUCUUCAUGAAACUUGUUCGAAAUCAUGUCUUCUAUGCUGUGCUCGAAAAUCACAACAAUGCAACGGUUGGAUUGUUCUGAAUCAAGUUGAUCCUCGCAAUGGGUCAUGUUCCUACAGUGAUGUUUAUUUAACCCGUGAGAUCUUCACCUUAAUCUUGCUCUGAAACUUACAGGAGUGCUAAUUGGUGAGUUUCAUGACGUACAUCGAAAGAAUAUCUUCCUUCUUGUUCAAUGUCUAUAUAUUGUUUCAAGUUCAAUAACAUAGUGAUCAUUAGAUAUCAUGUGCCUCUAAGAUCACUCAAAAUAUUAUCUAAUUCUCUUGUGCAAUAUUAGCUUACUCUGUUUCAAGUUUUGACAAGAUCAUCUUUUACAAUCUGCCUUGUAGUCUUGUAGACUGUUUGAUAAAUUGUCCUUGAUAUUGUUGGAUUCACCCUUUGAGUUGAACUUGUUUCAAAAUAGACACCUAAAUUGUCGUUUUAAGAUGGAUUUCUUUUCAGUUGGAGUUAGAUUGAAUUCUUGGUGAUUUUCAAAGUAAACUACGCUGCUGAGAUUUUUAUAAAGUCUGACAGUUCAGUCAGUUUGUAUUCAUCUUUUCCUCACUUCCCAAACUCCAAAUGGCAUGAAAUUUUAAUAUGAUCUACCUUAACCUGUUACCUUUAAAUCUGGAAAGUUUCAUGGUCAUUGGUUUGAAAUUGAAAUUUUAAUGAUUUUCCAAACCUGAGCAGUUUCUUUCAUUCCAACCUUUGUUCUUGUACACUUGGUUCAAAUCCUUCCACUGAGUUCCCAAAUGUACAAAGUUGUAAGAUAUUCAUUUCAAACCUUAUCUUCAUCCUACUUCUUCAUAUGUCACUACUGUCCUUAUGAGUUAUGAGUGAAUUGAGAGUUUAGACAUCGUAAAGGUUGCACAGAAAAUGGAGCAUGAGAUUGCAAAUCUGCGAUUUCUGUUAUACUAGGACUUUGGCCAAGCUUUGGACUGAAAUCAAUGGAGGACCAGUAAAGGAAGUUCAUGCGCAUCGAUAUGUCACUAUGAAUUAACAAUCGAGGUAAGGAGGCUCACCCUAGUUAGCGGCUUUUUUGAAUUCUGUUAUUGUUUGUAAAUGCUUUAUAAAAUUUUCUUACUUGAGUUGAUGAGGAUGACUUGAGAGUGAGCGGGGCAUAGCGACUUCCUUGGGUUUCGAUCCCCUAAAUCUCCGGAGGGGCUGUACGGACGGGAUAGUGUCUGACACCUUUGAGGUGUGACACUAGAUCUAGGUGGUACGGCAUAAAUGGAUACUCUCGCUACUCUUCACCAAUGGUUGAAGAUUUAUAUCUUCGGUGAGGAUGUAGUUGGCUAGUAUUAGACCGGUCAUCAGGUUUGGAUUUUACCCGGGUACUCUUGGAUUUCCAUUUUAUUAUACAUUGGAAAAGCUUCUAUCGAUUUUAUUUCAUUUUAAUCAACUGGCGCCGAUUACUAUUUGGUUUUCAAACCUAGCUAGGGUUGAUGUCUGAGCAACGAGGACGAAAGCUCACCCCUACUAUAGUUGGUCUUGCAGGUACUGUGCACGAGGAUUGAGGAGGACUUUGGGGCUGAGCUGGGUGUUGUGUAUUCACCUUAAACCUUUCGGUAUAAUUGCAUUCACAUAUUCAAUCACCUUUGUUUUAAUUGUCAUUGUUUUCUUUGAGGUGACAGUUUGAUUGUAAUGACCUCAAUCUUUGCUUAGUUCCUUCCGUUAGUUUUCCUUUGGUGUACCAAGUGUUCGAGACCAACUUGAGUUUCAUGAGUCUUAUUCUCCAUUGUUCUAGAUUAAUAACUUCAUUAUUAUGUUCUUUCACAAAAGUGAUGGCUGG